ACAUGCAAGUCGAGCGGAAACGAUCCUAGCUUGCUAGGAGGCGUCGAGCGGCGGACGGGUGAGUAAUGCAUAGGAAUCUGCCCGGUAGUGGGGGAUAACUUGAGGAAACUCAAGCUAAUACCGCAUACGCCCUACGGGGGAAAGCAGGGGCUCUUCGGACCUUGCGCUAUCGGAUGAGCUUAUGUCGGAUUAGCUGGUUGGUGAGGUAACGGCUCACCAAGGCGACGAUCCGUAGCUGGUCUGAGAGGAUGAUCAGCCACAUCGGGACUGAGACACGGCCCGAACUCCUACGGGAGGCAGCAGUGGGGAAUAUUGGACAAUGGGGGCAACCCUGAUCCAGCCAUGCCGCGUGUGUGAAGAAGGCCCUCGGGUUGUAAAGCACUUUCAGCGAGGAAGAAUGCUUGUCGGUUAAUACCCGGCAAGGGAGACAUCACUCGCAGAAGAAGCACCGGCUAACUCCGUGCCAGCAGCCGCGGUAAUACGGAGGGUGCGAGCGUUAAUCGGAAUUACUGGGCGUAAAGCGUGCGUAGGCGGCUUGAUAAGCCGGUUGUGAAAGCCCCGGGCUCAACCUGGGAACGGCAUCCGGAACUGUUAGGCUAGAGUGCAGGAGAGGAAGGUAGAAUUCCCGGUGUAGCGGUGAAAUGCGUAGAGAUCGGGAGGAAUACCAGUGGCGAAGGCGGCCUUCUGGACUGACACUGACGCUGAAGUACGAAAGCGUGGGUAGCAAACAGGAUUAGAUAACCCUGGUAUNCACGCCGUAAACAAUGUCGACUAACCCUUGGGGUCCUCGAGACCUUUGUGGCGCAAUUAACGCACUAAAUCCACCCCCUGGGAAUACCGGC
rnacentral:rRNA from 1 species